rnacentral:lncRNA from 1 species
GAGGAGAGUUAAGCAUGGUCGACACUUUUGUGAGCCUGUUGGCGUACUUACGAGCAGCUUCGUCACAUAUCUCUUCCACUUCAGGCGAAGUUAAACCUCCUUUCUUUGUAAAAAAUUUCAGACCAUUGCGAGUGUAGGGUAAGUGAGAAGCCGUCAUCUGCAACACAAAUUACAUACAAAUUUACCAUAGUUGAUUUAACAUUCUUUUCAACACAGAUUUUAGUUGAGACUGCUUUUUUUACUCUACCAUGAUUGAAGCAUCGUAAGCAAAUGGUGGCAGCAAUGUGCUCAUAAAACAAGCUGGUGUAGUAGCAAGGCCCAUCUCAAAUGUCAAGCAGCCAGCUCGAGCAAGGCCUGCAAAUACUGCUACACUCAGAGAUGCUCCUGAUAUUCGAGGGUCUUUGCCAAGUGAUACUGUAACAUCUUCCACUGGACGUCCUCGUUCCUUUUCCAAGGCCUUGAUAAUCCACUCUCCGAAGCUCUCGGCUAUGGCUUCCACGGCUGGUGGG